GACAGAGGGUGCAAACGUUGUUCGGAUUUAUUGGGCGUAAAGGGUGCGUAGGCGGUGCGGCAAGUCGGGCGUGAAAUCUCGGAGCUUAACUCCGAAACUGCAUUCGAUACUGCCGUGCUUGAGGACUGGAGAGGAGACUGGAAUUUACGGUGUAGCGGUGAAAUGCGUAGAUAUCGUAAGGAAGACCAGUGGCGAAGGCGGGUCUCUGGACAGUUCCUGACGCUGAGGCACGAAGGUCAGGGGAGCAAACGGG
rnacentral:rRNA from 1 species